CAACAUGGCACCCUUCGUGGACUUGCAUCUGUAGUUGAUUUCCUUGCUUAAUGUUAGCCAUCUAAAAGUGUUACAAGAGCAUGUCACAAAAUGAAAACACAUCAUGGUUCUCUUUUUCCAAAUGAAAUGUCAAAGCGCUGGAAUGCAGAAGUAUGGUGAACUGUGCUGUAAUUUUUGUUUGCAUUUCUAAGUGAAGAGGCUGAACACCUUAAUUAAACUUAUUAACUCUUGAGGUGUUGACAUGAUGCCACACAUGGAAAAUUAGCACCUAGCAUUUUAUGAUCAGUAGUAACAAAAUACUGUAUACUAAGAAUACUCUAGAAAAUUACCUUUAGGCUAUAAAAAGUAUAUAUGAGACAAACAAAUUUCAAAUUUAGCUUUGGGACCCAUUUCUAAGAUAUCUCAUUAUAAAAGUACAAAUAUCCCAAAAUCAAGUUUAAAAAAUAUGAAGCAUAUCUUAUUCCAAGCAUUUUAGAUAAGGAUAGUCAACCUCUAUUAAUAUCUCGCCUGAUGCUUGUCAAGAAUAUCAACUACAAAUGGCUUUAUUAAGUUAACAUUUGAAGAAAUUGUUAGGUGAGAUUUUGCCAUCUACUGGUUCUUCUUUAAUUACUGUUUGCGUAGUUUGACCUUGUGUCUGCCUGGGUUGCCCUGGCUGGCAUAAAGCUUGAGAUCUUCCUCUGAGGUACUCCAAGUACAGGUGUGCAGUACCUGUUAACUGCUUGUUCUGUAAGGCAUUAACUCUAAUCUCAGCUUUCUAAAAGACGAAAUUACUUCCAGACUGGUACUAAUCAUGGAGACUUAAAGCUGUUCCCUAUAGCUGAGCACUUACUUUUCUCCUAACCCAGUAUUUUAGAAAGCAAGCUUAAGUCAUUGUAUCUUUGUGAAGAACGUCUUCCUAAUAAAGUAUUAUGGAAACCCCAAGAAGCUGUUUGGUUUUCAUCAAGUUAUAUAAACGUUUAAGAAAAAUUAGGGACUGAAUAGCUAAGAGUCUAGCCCCCUGUGUCCCAAAACUGUUUUCCCUUUACCCAUCUUUAUGCAAUAGUCUUAAGAUUCCUAUUAGGAUGGGAUAUUGAGCACUUGUUUAGCACGCACCAGGGCCUGAGUUAGAGCAGCAUUGCAAGAAAGGAAAAAAAAAUCACCUAAAAUUUCCUGUACAAAUAUAUUUUAUUUGAAACUGGGUUUUGUUCUGCUGCCCAAGUUAUCCCUAAACUAGGCUUAAAUAAUCCUCCUGCCACCUCCUUUUUUUUUUUUUUUUUUUUUUGGUUUUGAGACACGAUCUUGCUACACAGCCUAACUGGUCUUUGAACUCGAUGUCCAGGCACCUUGGCCUCCAGAGUGCUGGGAUCACAGAAGCGUGCCCCAUGCUCAGGGCUGCUGCUGGUUCUCUUCUUCAUGUCUGAGUGCUGUCUGCCAGAGGAGGGCAUCAGAUCCCAUUGCAGAUGGUUGUGAGCCACCAUGUGGUGAUUGCUGGGAAUUGAACUCAGGACCUGGAAGAAUAGCUAGUACUCUUAACGCCUGAGCUAUCUCUCCAUUCCCUUGGGCUUCUUUUUAAGAUGGUGGCACUAAGGCCGGCAAUGAUUAGAAGUGCCUGCUGCUGAGUCCCUGCCCUACUUAACAGACGUCCUAGCAAUAGGUGUCAUUCUGCUUAUUCUUAGUACUUUCCAGGGGAGUUUAGGUUUUAAUAAGUAUCUUUCAAAUACUUGAAAAUAAUACGAAGUAAACAUUACCUUAAGUGCUUCUUCAUAUUCUCCUAAAGGGACAAAAACAAAACAGUGGGAUUUUUGGUUUUUGUUUUUGAUCAGUUUUACAAUUACACUGAAUAUCAUCUACCCUACAAUUUUUUGCUUUUUUGGGGGUGGGAGAGUCUAGCUAUGUAGCUUAGGCUGACAUCAAACUUACAAUCCUUUGUGUGUUGGGAUUACAGAAGGGUCAGGCUAAUUCUAUAGUUCCAGUGUAAAGCAUAGAGACUAUCAAAUUCUUAGAAUCUUCAUAUAUAGACUCCCUUCUUAUUAUAUGGUGCUCUUCCUUCUGGUCAUAACAAGAUUUCAUCCCUGGCCUCUUCCCCUAUAGCUAUGACAAACCAGAGCACAGCAAUAUAGUGGUAGCCAGGACUCUGGCAAUGGAGCUAUGGUUACUCCACUGAGGUGUCAGGAGACCCUUGCCUGAGAUUCCAUUCCUUUCCCUAGCUGCAAGAGGUCUGAGAGAUGAUAGCCUAUUUACAGAAGUGAAGGACGGCUAAAAGCAGGUCUCCAUGAUGCAGUAAGAUGGCAAACCAUGACGGGGUGGGGCCUUGCAGUGAUCUACCUGUUUGGGGGCCUCCCAAACUCCUGUACACAACUCUGCUCUGCAAGGAAGUGCAACAGACUCACGGCUUCCACCGGGCUGGCUUUGGGGAGAUUAUACUUUGAUCUCUUGUUGGCGCCCACCUGGUGUGGUGUCUCCUCUGAAGUUCUUGCAACAAGAUCCAGAGCUGAGAGCAGCUAAUACAAAGAAUCUUCCUCUUCAGUCCCUCUGUGCUGCUCUAGCCUUUGAAGUAAAAAAUAUCAACCCA
rnacentral:sRNA from 1 species